rnacentral:rRNA from 1 species
UGGGGGAUAUUGCACAAUGGGCGAAAGCCUGAUGCAGCGACGCCGCGUGGGGGAUGAAGGCCUUCGGGUUGUAAACUUCUUUUGCUCUGAACAAGGCAUGCCUUUGGGGUGUGUUGAGUGUAGGGGUUGAUUAGCGCCGGCUAACUACGUGCCAGCAGCCGCGGUAAUACGUAGGGCGCGAGCGUUGUCCGGAAUUAUUGGGCGUAAAGGGCUUGUAGGUGGCUGGUUGCGUCUGUCGUGAAAGCUCAUGGCUUAACUGUGGGUUUGCGGUGGGUACGGGCUGGCUUGAGUGCAGUAGGGGAGGCUGGAAUUCCUGGUGUAGCGGUGGAAUGCGCAGAUAUCAGGAAGAAUACCGGUGGCGAAGGCGGGUCACUGGGCUGUUACUGACGCUGAGGAGCGAAAGCGUGGGGAGCGAACAGG